GCGGUAAUGUGAGGAAGCCUCCCGCCAAACAGUAGAGGGAGGAGGAGGAGGGGAGAGGCCAGAGAGAGAAGCGGCUUUCGGGAAGGAAAGUGUGAUCUAGGAGGUGGAAUAGUGCUCUCCAAACUUUGACCUGAGGCCUUAAAUUCCACAACCUCAUCAUCUACCACCUUUGGUGCUUUCAGAAUCAUGACUCUCAAUGUUGAAGAGUGGGCUACUGCAUGGAAGGUGCUGAUCCUUUUAGAGGCAGCCGUGGAAGAGGAAAAGAGAUCAGAAGAGAAAAGGAUAUUGGUUUGCUGGAACAUGUGGGACAAGAAGUUCCCAGAAGAAUUUGUGAGCAACUUCCCGACAGUAAGGCCCUGGCUAGACCUCAGGAUGGUCCCUGCCUCCUGGACAUUAGGAAGCCCAAAGGCCAGAACAAAAACACAUGCCUAGUGGGGGAAGGCUCACUAACAGGGCACCAAGUGGGGCAAAUACCCCUGGUAACCCAUUUAUGGAGGCUGCCACAGAAAUGCUAGUUGGAAAUUUUCCUCCUUCAGUCUAUCAUGAAUUUCCUUUUUCUCUUUUGAGAUGAAGUCGCCCAGGCUGCAGUUCAGUGGUGCAAUCUCAGCUCACUGCAAGCUCUGCCUCCCAGGUUCCAACGAUUGUCUUGUCUCAGCCUCCUGAGUAGCUGAGAUUAUAAGCACGCACCAUCAUACCCGACUAAUUUUUGUAUUUAUAGUAGAAAUGGGGUUUUG
rnacentral:antisense_RNA from 1 species